CGGGGACGGGCAUUGUACUCAGCUCCCAGCACGCCCAUCUUCAAAGUCCUGUAGGAGUAAGCUGGGGCAUCUUAAGGGCAGGAGAGGCUGACUUUGCCUCUUACCCCAGGAUCUGUUCUCCUCACAGACGGGUUAGCAGUGUUCCAAGCCUUCCUUCGCACUGAGUUCAGCGAGGAGAAUCUGGAGUUCUGGUUGGCUUGUGAGGACUUCAAGAAGGUCAAGUCACAGUCCAAGAUGGCAUCCAAGGCCAAGAAGAUCUUUGCUGAAUACAUCGCGAUCCAGGCAUGCAAGGAGGUCAACCUGGAUUCCUACACGCGGGAGCACACCAAGGACAACCUGCAGAGCGUCACGCGGGGCUGCUUCGACCUGGCACAGAAGCGCAUCUUCGGGCUCAUGGAAAAGGACUCGUACCCUCGCUUUCUCCGUUCUGACCUCUACCUGGACCUUAUUAACCAGAAGAAGAUGAGUCCCCCGCUUUAGGGGCCACUGGAGUCGAGCUCAGCGUUCACACCAGGCGGGCUGGGUCCCCUGCCCACCUGCCUCCCUCCCCCCUGUGACGGAGGGGGCAAGCAAGCCCCCAGAGGCUGUGUCUCUGGACAGAUGGAUAGACAUACGGAAGCGAGGCCUGGACCAAGAGAGGCCCAGGCUACUGGAGGAGUAGAAGGAUGGGCCCCGUGGGGUCCCCACUGCCCCGGUACGAGGGGGCCCAAGACCCUGGCAGGUCAGGGGCCCUGGCCAAGCCAGAUCUGGAGCUGCUGCUCCCUGCUGCGGAGACCGCGGAGGCUUCGCGUUGACCAAGUUCCUUAAAGAACUGGCUGAUGGGGCAGGAGGUCCAGGCCUGGGCUCUCGGGCCCUCCUAGAGGACCAUUGGAGCUUGCAGCUCAGACCCCCACUUUGAGUUUUAUUUAUUUAAAUAGUAGUUGGAUGCUUGGCACGUCGUCCUGUAAUAGGAAACCCUUGCCUCAUCAGUUUUCCUGAUUUACAAGUGCAAUAUUUUAGCCAAUGCCUUGGGAGAAGCUGCCAUGCAAAGGUGGACACCAUUCUCCAGCUUCAGGGGAUAUGCUCGUCCCGGGCACCGGUGGCAGGCAGCUGGCCUUCUGGACUAAGGCAGCCUGGGGGGACACUGCAGUCUGGCUGCACACAGAGAUCUGGCACCCCCUGGGUGGAGUGUCCCUCGGGGGCUUUGGGAAAGCAUGGCACCCUCAGACCACACAGUAGCCGAGUUCUGGAGCAAAUAAAAGGCCUGUGUUAUUUCUUGUUCUUGA
rnacentral:sRNA from 1 species